GGAGACAUGGAUGAAUAGAUGGUUGAUAAGAAAAUGGAGAUGAAAAUGGUUCUAGCUCCUCCUUUAGCUUGAAUAAUAUAUAUAUGCUGAUGUAUAACCUAGAAUUUAACUUAUGCUUCUUUCCAUAGUGAUAGGGCAGCUAAAAAUGGACAAAUUCUUUCUCAAAAGGAAAACUAAAAAGAACAUUGCUCUACAAUGUAAGUUUUGAAUCAAAGAUUCUCUGUGAAAUAAUGUUUUUUCUGGCUGGCUGGCUGACCCUGGCGAUCCCAAUCGAUUUAUCACACCGAUGGAAAGAACCCGCCUACGACCUGGAUAUGAAGUUACUGAAACUGGGAAUUAAAUGACCCUUUCCCAUUGGACUUUCUGACCACGGACAGCGAUGACCUCUGUGGACUGAUAGCCACUGAUGGACUCUGUGUGAAAUGAUCUGAUAAUAGGAUAACGAGUCAAAGUACAAUCAUAGUUCAGCUGGAGCUGGUCACUCGAUCCACGGUGUCAGGUUGUGCGAGCUUGUGUGUCUUUUCUAAAACUUGCAAUUCUCCCACAGCACAAAAAACAAGCAAGUUUUAUUGUAGAUAGAAGAUUCUAACCUGUGGCAGAACAGAAAGCUCUGCUCCCGGUUUGAAUGGUGCUUUCAUGUUGAGUCUCAGGUGUUUGAUUCUAUCUCAACUUGACUGUAGCUGAUGCUAUUAAUUUUCUUUCUGUGCGUUCUGCUGAAUAUGCGACCUUGCUGUCUUGGAAUGUGUCCUGUUGCAGACGGAGGGCAGGUGGUUAUUCAUAUGACAACACACACGUGUAAGCAAACACGGCAAAAGAAAAGGAGAGAAAGAAGGAGGCAGACAUUUCUUUCAGCCAGUUCUCUGUGUCAGCCGUGUAAGAAAGCCGCCAAACCAAUAAUUUUGUCAAGUUCUUUUUUUAGCGGAGCGGCUGAAUCGUCUUUGGAUUGCCACAUGUAUAAAGGCAGCCCAUAUAAAGCCAUUCACAGCACUGAAUGAACACGCCAUCUGUGGGGCUUUCUUAUUUCCUCUUCUCUUUUCUUCUCCUUCUUUUUCAAGCCUUGUAAUCAAAUUUGAGCAAAAUCAAAUGGCGGGAGGAUAGAAUGAGAGCAAUGGGGGGGAGGAGGGUUCAAUGAAAGUACCUUUUGUUGGUCUGAAACGAGCAAGUAAUUUACAAAAUGCCCUCCUUUUGUGCAGGGGGCUAAGGGAAGAAAGAAAUCAGUAGCUUUUAGAAGCUAGGCCUUGCGCUGCGACGGGCAAGAUAAUGAAAGCCGUCUUGUGUUUGUGGGCUAGAGAGCAUCUCAAAGGCAGACCGGGCCCCGGCUCAGGGUUAGCUUGGCUGCUGUAAAAAAAAGAAAAAAAAAAAAGAAAAAAAAAAACACAAGACGCUCUUCUUUAUGUGUGUGUGUUUGUGUUUGGCAAGAAACAGGACUGCUGUGCCCGGUUACUCUUGGCAGAGACACUCUGAGGAUCAGACGAAGUUGUCAAUGCUGAAAAGAGGAACGAGGAAGGCUGCUGAUUCCUUACUUACCUGUUGUCGCCUGCAGGUGCGUGCGGCUGGCCCUGCACAGGUAGGCAGCAAUGCUCCUCUGUUGAGAAGUCUGGGCUGAAGCGGAGACGAGGAAGAAGGAAUAAAAGCAUCCAGCUGGGAUCAUUGUCCCGAAGGAUUAUCAAGUACAGAGGAUUGCGGCUGACUGCCUUCAUUCGUUACUUCCACGGAGUUAGCUGAGGAGAGACCUGCUGCAAGAUUACCACCUGAGCAGCACCUGGGAACGUUCGCUCAUGAAUUCUAACAGAGGUUCCUGUUUACUUUGAACAAAGUGGUACCUGGCAUGUCCUGCAGCACAGAGUCGGUAAAGACCCAUAAGAGGAGAAUCAAGUCUAGAGGAUGGAUAGAUGGAUUAUAGAUCGUUUGUCUGUGUGCACCUAACGCCUGAUGAGCCUCGCUGUGCACUUGCAUGUGUCCAUCAAACACCACUUGAUUACUGGCUGUGUAUUUAUCAUCAUCAUCGUCAUCAUCAUUAUCAUUAUCAACCGUCUCCCCUCUCUUAAGUCUGAGACAAUGGACUCUCCUUAGAGGCUCUUAUUGAGCUGGAGCUCAGUAGUCUUCACAGUCUCAGCCCAGUUCUAGUCCUCUUCAGCAGCCUGGAGUGUGGCUAGGUAAUUACCCGAGGAUUGAUUCCCCUAACAGAGACCAUUUCUUCACCUCCUGCAGAAUCACUAAGAGGCUUAUAAUAAGCCCUGCACACCUCCAUGGCUUCCUAGCUAAUGUCUUGGCAAGCUAGAGCCUCUAUUGACUUGUUGAUAGAGACUCUGGAGCAGUACCAGAGGCGGCAGAGCGAGGAGAGGGAACUCUUCACUCGAGAGACUUGAUUAUUAAAAUGCCACCAAGUUCUGUGUCACCACACCUUAGAUACAAUAUGCAUGGAGAUGGAGAUGUCUCCAAGAUGUCAA